AUACAUGCAAGUCGAACGAACUCUGGUAUUGAUUGGUGCUUGCAUCAUGAUUUACAUUUGAGUGAGUGGCGAACUGGUGAGUAACACGUGGGAAACCUGCCCAGAAGCGGGGGAUAACACCUGGAAACAGAUGCUAAUACCGCAUAACAACUUGGACCGCAUGGUCCGAGUUUGAAAGAUGGCUUCGGCUAUCACUUUUGGAUGGUCCCGCGGCGUAUUAGCUAGAUGGUGGGGUAACGGCUCACCAUGGCAAUGAUACGUAGCCGACCUGAGAGGGUAAUCGGCCACAUUGGGACUGAGACACGGCCCAAACUCCUACGGGAGGCAGCAGUAGGGAAUCUUCCACAAUGGACGAAAGUCUGAUGGAGCAACGCCGCGUGAGUGAAGAAGGGUUUCGGCUCGUAAAACUCUGUUGUUAAAGAAGAACAUAUCUGAGAGUAACUGUUCAGGUAUUGACGGUAUUUAACCAGAAAGCCACGGCUAACUACGUGCCAGCAGCCGCGGUAAUACGUAGGUGGCAAGCGUUGUCCGGAUUUAUUGGGCGUAAAGCGAGCGCAGGCGGUUUUUUAAGUCUGAUGUGAAAGCCUUCGGCUCAACCGAAGAAGUGCAUCGGAAACUGGGAAACUUGAGUGCAGAAGAGGACAGUGGAACUCCAUGUGUAGCGGUGAAAUGCGUAGAUAUAUGGAAGAACACCAGUGGCGAAGGCGGCUGUCUGGUCUGUAACUGACGCUGAGGCUCGAAAGUAUGGGUAGCAAACAGGAUUAGAUACCCUGGUAGUCCAUACCGUAAACGAUGAAUGCUAAGUGUUGGAGGGUUUCCGCCCUUCAGUGCUGCAGCUAACGCAUUAAGCAUUCCGCCUGGGGAGUACGGCCGCAAGGCUGAAACUCAAAGGAAUUGACGGGGGCCCGCACAAGCGGUGGAGCAUGUGGUUUAAUUCGAAGCUACGCGAAGAACCUUACCAGGUCUUGACAUACUAUGCAAAUCUAAGAGAUUAGACGUUCCCUUCGGGGACAUGGAUACAGGUGGUGCAUGGUUGUCGUCAGCUCGUGUCGUGAGAUGUUGGGUUAAGUCCCGCAACGAGCGCAACCCUUAUUAUCAGUUGCCAGCAUUAAGUUGGGCACUCUGGUGAGACUGCCGGUGACAAACCGGAGGAAGGUGGGGAUGACGUCAAAUCAUCAUGCCCCUUAUGACCUGGGCUACACACGUGCUACAAUGGAUGGUACAACGAGUUGCGAACUCGCGAGAGUAAGCUAAUCUCUUAAAGCCAUUCUCAGUUCGGAUUGUAGGCUGCAACUCGCCUACAUGAAGUCGGAAUCGCUAGUAAUCGCGGAUCAGCAUGCCGCGGUGAAUACGUUCCCGGGCCUUGUACACACCGCCCGUCACACCAUGAGAGUUUGUAACACCCAAAGUCGGUGGGGUAACCUUUUAGGAACCAGCCGCCUAAGU
rnacentral:rRNA from 1 species